AGGAAUCAGGUUGUUUGUACACAGAUUUUUUUUUCAGUCUUCAGUAUGCUGAUUCAAUCUAUACACUCAUUUAACAUUUUCUUUUAUUGUUUCUCUCUUCUUUUUCUCCCAUUAUAUAGCAAUUCCAGAUCUUCCUUUAAGCUUUCUGUAACCAAGUGCUCAGACAUUGCUGGAAAAAAUUACACAGUGGGGUCAUUUUAUGUUCAGAAUCACCGAUACCAAAUGAGCAUUCUACAAUGUUCAGUAGCACUAGUAUAUUUCUCUGGUAAAGCUGCUUUCCAUGACCUGCAGUGUUAUUACCUUUUAUUAUUCUUCUCGACUUUUGUAAGAAAUACAUUUUUAUUUGAUAAUCCUACUCUCUAUUUUUUUUGAAAAGAUAGAAGACUCAGAAUAGACUCCUCAUUUUCCCAGAACCAAUUCUUCUGCAUUUGUUGCAUUUGCUUCAUUCUUUCUCUUUUCUGACAUUGAUACAUUGAUACAUGAGUGUGUGCAUGCUGUUUUCUUUAAUAAAAAAAAAACUACUUAUAAAUAUACUUACUACAUUUUUAGUACCUGUUAAAAUUUACUAUUACACUUAUUCCUUGAUUUUUUUUAUAUCAACAUUUGAAACUAUUGACAAGAAACUCUCUGAGGGAGUAUUCCAUUUCACACCCAGACUAUUCACAGAUAGUGCCUUCUAUAUUAUAAUCACUCAAUAAAUAAUUGUUAAAUAAGAGGACAGAAGAAUGGCAGAAAAGAUACUUACAUAAAUGUGUGGACUGAGUGACGAGUGAAUGAACAGGAAAUUAAAUAUCCACAUAGACAAAACCAAACCAAAACAAACAAAAAAAUGUGUUGUACAGGAUAAAAUGAGUAUAAUCUAUUCACUGAUCUACAUGUAUAAACUAUCUGCCUUAGAAAAAAAAUUUAUCAGCAACUAUAAUCUUUUUUGACAUUUUGGAAAAUUUUGAAAAUUGAAUUUUGCAAUGGAAAAUAAUUGAAAGUAAAAAUGAAAUUAAUUCAAGAUAUCAUUUGCUUUGCUCCAAAAAUUAUUUUAUAUUUUUAUUAAAGUAUGGUUGAUUUACAAUGUUGUGCCAGCUCCAAAACUUUAAAUGUCAGGAAAGAUCAACAGUGUUUGCCUAUAUAAUUUACUGAAGUAUUUGAAGUAACAUCUAAAAGUUUAGCUAUUUCUUUUAUUGAAAGUAUAGUCAGAAAUGUUCUGAUCAAGUUCACUUUCCACAGAUUUGUUUACACUGUUGUUUUCUGCUUCUGAAAGUGCACGUGCACUUCCAUAAUUUUGCAAUAGAAAUAAAAGAAUAAUUUAGGAAUUUAUUGAUAAUCAGUGAUGGCUCUCCAAGACUCAGCGGGUUAAGAGCCUAAAAUAGUGUCCCUGAGGAUGCGUUUGAUCCCUGGCCUCACUUAGUGUGUUAAGGAUCUGGCUUGCCACAAGCUGCAGUGCAGGGUACAAAUGCAGGUUGGAUCUGGCCCUGCUGUGGCUGUGUGUGGUGUUGGCCUCAUGUCAAGCUCUUAUUUGACCCCUAGCCCAGGAACUUCAUAUGCCACAGAAGCUGCUGUAAAAAGAAAAAAAAAAAUGCCUCCAGUCAUAAAAAUAUGGAAAAUUACACAUUUCAAUGAUGUACGUAUUUGUAUUUACAAAUAAAUAUAAUGAUAUAUAUAUUUAUGUAUACGCAUUUAGUGAUUUAUAAAUUUGGGUUUUUUCAGCAUUCUAAUUAUAAUUUCCUUUUGAUAAACAUAUUCAUUUACCUUACCUAAUGAUAUUAUCACUAGGCAAGGGUCCAUCACAUUUCCUAGAACAUAUAUAUUUGCUUAAUGAGAGAGACAAUACGUCAAGAGGAAAAAUAUUGGAAUUACCUUGUUUGUGAUCAAUACUAUGCCACAAGCAUAAUUUUUAUGCUAAUCCUUAAGUUAAUUGAUUAAUCAUUCACAAAAUAUUCCAUGAUUGACAAAAGAGCUCCAGAGAGAAUACUGAAAUAGUGUUUUGCAGGGAGUGAAUCCAACCAUAUCCUGUCUAUUGACCUAACCACAUCGGUAUGUUUUGUAACAGCAAAUGACUUCAAAGACUGUGAUUAGAUGAAGAAAUUCCUGGGAGUCCAUGCCCAGUGCACUGGUGAUUUUUCAUCUUUGACUGCUUUAACAUGUAGGUACCUAUUCAUGAAUAUUCACUUCAAAAUCAGCAUAUAACCUUUAGUAUCCAUAUGAUGAAUGUGUUAAACUGAAACUUUACCCCAUUAUAAAUAAAAUGUUUAGAUGUUUUCUCAUUUUUGAAAAAUGUAGAUUUUGGUUUUAUUAAAAAUUAGUCUUCACUUAUAUAUGUACCAAUGAAAUCAUUCUAAGACUUCUCAAUAGUUUUAUUCUACUCAUCUGAUUUUAUUUUUCCAUGAUGCAACUCCUUCCCCAUGAAGAAUCAUGUAUCUCAAGACCAAACAUGGGAUAUAUAUUAUAUUCAAUAAUUCAUCCUAUUUUCUGUUCAAAAAAUGCUUAAUAAAAUAUAAUUUUAUAACAUUUAUUUCAUUUUUAAUUACAUAUUUCUCUUUUUUAAUUGUAACUACCCAAAAUUUUAUAGAUAAUAAAGACCUAUCUCUACUCACAGGUUGUAUGUUAAACAUACAUUUUCUAGAAAAGUACAACAUGUAGUAUGCUUGUAAUUAGAUAAUCAUUGAUUUUUUUAUCCUUAAGAUACUUUUUUUACAUUUUAAAAUUUUAGAAAAGUAAAAACCAAAACAAAUAAUCAAAACAAAAUUUCCAUUGAUAGUUUACUGUCAUCCUUUUUUCAUAUGAGGAUUGGGAAAUAGAUGAUACUCUAUGAUAAGAAAACAUCAGAUCAGGAUGCAAAGUAGGGAGCCUACAGGAAUAAACUGUCUUCCUCUUUUAUGUCAGGUUGAUAGCACAAUUAGUAGAGUACAUGGCAUCUAGAUAUUACCGUGAGUGAGAAUCCCUUCUUCUGUAUCCAGACUAUGGGUAGAUCCCCAAAGCUAGU
rnacentral:lncRNA from 1 species